UUAUGAUGAUAUUUCUUGAAUGAAUUAUUCAUGUUUUUAACACGUAACAUAUAUAAUUACUUUAAAAAAAAAAAAUGUGUCUUUUCUCGAUAGUAUGGGAUUUGCAAGAUUUCAAUUUUCUAUUGCUCAUAUUUUCGAAAUCACAUGUCUCAGAAUUGCGAAAAUUGUAAAGAACAUGUAUAACGAGCGUUCCAGUUAUACCAUUAGAAAUUACCAUGAUGCUGUUAAAAAGUUGCAGAGUCUUCAAAGUAAUUCUAAUUAUAUCAAAAUUGCUACAAAUAAUCCAACACAAAAUUCGGCCAAGUUGAAGGAUAUGGAAAAAUAUUUAAAUAGGUCUGGUAUUAGCUUGGAACAACUGGACGAGCUCUCUGUUAUACAUGUAGCCGGUACCAAAGGAAAAGGUUCCGUAUGUGCUUUUACAGAAUCCAUAUUGCGAGCGCAUGGAUUUAGAACUGGUUUUUAUAGUUCACCUCAUUUAAUUACCGUUAAAGAACGAUUUAGGAUAAAUGGCUCUCCUAUUGAUGAAAAAGAUUUUGCUUAUUAUUUUUGGGAUUUAUAUAGAAAAUUAGAUAACUCGAAAGAAUCUGAAUUGGACAUGCCAAUGUAUUUCAAAUUUCUUACCAUUUUAAUGUUUAAUAUGUUUUUACGUGAAAAUAUAGACGUAGCAAUUAUAGAAGUUGGAAUAGGGGGAGAAUACGACUCAACCAAUAUCAUAAGAAAUCCUGUAUGUGUUGGUAUAACGAGUUUAGCGCUAGAACAUACUUCUAUAUUAGGAAAUACAAUAGAAGAAAUAGCAUAUCAGAAAGCAGGUAUUUUCAAACCAAAUACAAUUGCGUUUACAGUCCCUCAACAAAAAGAAGCUUUAGAAAUAUUGAAAGAAAGAGCAAUCGAGAGGCAAACCGUUUUACACAUUACGCCAUCGUUUCAGGAUUAUAAAUGGAAAAAUAAUGUAUUAAACAAUACAACGUUUAGUCAAAUUCAACAACAAAAUGCUUCUUUAGCGAUACAGUUGGCAAUUCAAUGGAUGCAAUCUCGAAUUAAUCAAAACUAUUCUUUGAUAAUUAAUAAGAAACUUAAUAACAAUUUAGAGGAGAAUAAUGUAGAAAGGAAUAUUAAAAAUAUCAAUUUUGAAGAAAAAGAACAUAUAUCGUAUGAAAAAAUUGCAAGAGGGUUAUCUUGUUGCAUGUGGCCAGGACGACAAGAAAUUUUAAAGGGUACUUUAUUUGAUUUUUAUUUGGACGGUGCUCAUACUAUAGAAAGUAUGAAUUGUUGUAUUUCUUGGUUUACUAAUCAAAUAGAAAAUGUUAAUGGUAAACGAUAUUUGAUUUUCAAUAUGAUCGGAAAACGCAAUGUGUCUCUAUUCAUAAGAUCUUUGAAAAAGAUUCAAUUUCAUAAAGUUUAUUUUGUGCCUAAUCUUUCUGGAAUACCGGAAAUAGAUGUUCAGUCGACGAUCAAUUCGAUAAAUGAACAACAAAAUAAAUGUCAAGAGUAUUGCACAAUGUGGGGAGAGCAUUCCGUUGUUGCCGAAAAUGUAAUGGAAAUUUUUAAUGAUAUUAAGAUUGAACAUACCAUUGGGAAAACUAGUAUUUGUAAAGAUAGAUCUCAAGUACUUAUAACUGGGUCUUUGCAUUUAGUAGGGGCAGCUCUUGCUAUUUUGGAUCCUAAUUUGACUAUGACUACAAAAUUUUGACCCUUUCUUUUCUGGCACAACCGGCCGGUCACGUGUAUACAGUAGCCUACAAAAGUUUCGAAUCAUUCUAUUUUUCAUACGACGAUGAUACAAAACGUAUUCCACAUUUAUAUUUGAAAGCAAUAAUUUGUAUAUAUAUAUAUAUUGUUAAAUAAUUAAUUAUUAAAAAGUUAUUAUAUUUAAUGACUGUGCGAAAGUAUCCUGCCGCGUGUUAUUGUUUAUGACAAAAAAAUUUGAAAAGUAAGGAAACAUGAUUUGAACUUCUUCAUUUGAUUCAAUACUUUGUAGCUAUGUCCUUAGCAACGAUAAUUGCAAUGCAUCGAUGAGACAUGGAUGCAAUUCAUUGCGAGAUCCGUUCUUGUAACAAUAUUUCCUCACUCAUGUAACAAAUGAUUCUACAAUUCCGUUUUUUUGGAGUGAUUUUUCGUUCCAAUACGAUGUUUCAGGUCUUCCCACAGGUGUUAAAUUGAUUAUAAGUCCAGUAACUGAUCAGUUACGGCCCGUCAAGUAGGCCCGUAUAGCCGGUCAAGAAGGCCCACUCUUCAGCUCAGAAAAAAAUUCUUCACUAAACGCGAAGCAUGUUUUGGCAUCCAUAUUGCUGUGAAUCUCUAUCAUCGGAUCAAUACAGUCAUCAGAAAAUACUCUUCAAAUUUUAAUGUUCUCAUUACCGUGUUUUAUGGUAGAAAUUUGAUAUCUAAUAUUAUAU
rnacentral:misc_RNA from 1 species